rnacentral:rRNA from 1 species
GAUGAACGCUGGCGGCGUGCCUAAUACAUGCAAGUCGAACGCUUUGUCUUUAAUUGAUCUGACGAGCUUGCUCUGAAGUGAUUUUAUCUGACAAAGAGUGGCGAACGGGUGAGUAACACGUGGGUAACCUACCUCUUAGCAGGGGAUAACACUUGGAAACAAGUGCUAAUACCGUAUAAUACCAACAACCGCAUGGUUGUUGGUUGAAAGAUGGUUCUGCUAUCACUAAGAGAUGGACCCGCGGUGCAUUAGCUAGUUGGUAAGGUAAUGGCUUAACAAGGCAAUGAUGCAUAGCCGAGUUGAGAGACUGAUCGGCCACAAUGGGACUGAGACACGGCCCAUACUCCUACGGGAGGCAGCAGUAGGGAAUCUUCCACAAUGGGCGCAAGCCUGAUGGAGCAACGCCGCGUGUGUGAUGAAGGGUUUCGGCUCGUAAAACACUGUUAUAAGAGAAGAACGGCACUGAGAGUAACUGUUCAGUGUGUGACGGUAUCUUACCAGAAAGGAACGGCUAAAUACGUACCAGCAGCCGCCGUAACAC